rnacentral:misc_RNA from 1 species
AACCUUAUGGACCUGCGGGCGUAUACCUGCGGAAGGAUCAUUAAAAAACUUUUUGCCCGCGACCUCCGCGUCCGAGGCAAAAAACUCACACUGUGUGCACCGUUACCGUUUCCUUUGGCAGGGGCUUGGGGUUCUCCUCGUCGAGAUCCCAACUUCUCUACUGGCUCCAUCCCAAUAUAAUCCCUUCGCGGGAGUUUUGGGACAGCCAGACAUGGGAAGCCGUACCCUGCCAGAUGACCC